UAAAGCAUCAAAUCUGUCUGAGCUUUCCUUUUGUUAACAACAGAACUAAUUACUUGUUCUUUUCUAGUGAAAAUCUUUUUUUCGUGCACAUGCUUUCAUUCCUUAAAAUCCCAUAAAUAACAAUCAUAGUUUUCCUAAUCAGACAAAACGUGAAGGGAGUGGUCCUGUUUGGGAAGAUAUCACAGUGAUGGACAAUAUGGCAAAACAUGAAGCAGCUGAGCCCAAACAGGUUAAAAGUGUGAAGGAAAAUCCAAUUCAGAUUGAGAAGAAAACGACAGGAAUGCUGGUCAAGGAAAUGGUAAUUCCAGCAAAUGCUGAAGAGAUUAGAAGAGAUUAAACUUCCAGAGAUUAUAUCUUCAAAGCAAGUUCAGACAGAGUGGACUUGUGCAGUAUGUCAAAUGACAGCCCCUCGGAGCAAAACUUGAAGUCCCAUCUUAACGGAAGGAAACAUAAAGCAAAGUGUGAAGGGCUGAAAACUUGCAUGCAAACGGCCAAAAGGGAAGGUAGCUCACCUGUUACAUCAAAGUCAAAUCAGCUUAAUCAGGAGCAAGUAAAACAUGCAGCUGCAGCAGGAUUGAAGCACGGUGCUAAUGAAGCAGCUGAGCCCAAACAGGUUAAAUGUGUGAAGUAAAAUCCAAUUCAGAUUCAGAAGAAAACAACAAGUGUGCAGAUCAAGGAAACACUGCUUCCAGCAGAUGCUGAGGAGGUUAAACUCUCAGAGACUGAUUUGGUAAAGAACGUUCAGACAGAGUGGACUUGUGCGGUAUGUCAAGUGACAACCACCUCAGAGCAUGACCUGAAAUGCUAUCUUCUAGGUGGGAGACAUAGGGAAAAUUGUGAAGAGCUAAAAACUUGCAGGAAAGCGGCCAAACUGAUAGAAACCCACCUUGUACUUCAAAUAAGCCAGACAAGCUUAAGCAGGAGCAAGUAAAACAUGCAAUUUCAACUCAAAGAAAGCACAGUACUAAUGAGAAACCUAAAGAAAAGGUCCAACUAGGAGCUACUGGACAACAUGAAAAGCAGAAGCAAGUGAAGAAUGCUGGUGGUGCUAGUCAUAAUUCUAAGCUGUGGUGUAGUUUUUGUAACGUUAGGUGCCCUGGCGAGAUUGGUAUGUCUUCACAUCUUAACGGUAGGAAGCACUUGGCAAAACUUCAAGAAACGAUUGGUGGAACGUGGGGUUUGGAUGCAAAUAUGCAGUUUUACCCAGGUAUUUGAAGGUGUUUGGUGUCUUUCAAGGGAUGUACUGUUGAAGCAACUUUGUUCUAUUAUCCAUACUGAGAUUUAAUUGCUUGAUCACUGGAAAGGAAAAAGAGGAAAAAUCUAUGUCAAAAGGUGAAAUAUUAUUGUGUAUAGUCAGUUGGUAUGAGCAAUCAGAGCCUCUAAUUUUAACUUGGCUUUUUGUUUCUUCA